AGUGAACGCUGGCGGUAGGCCUAACGCAUGCAAGUCGAACGGCAGCACAGUAAGAGCUUGCUCUUACGGGUGGCGAGUGGCGGACGGGUGAGGAAUACAUCGGAAUCUACUUUUUCGUGGGGGAUAACGUAGGGAAACUUACGCUAAUACCGCAUACGACCUACGGGUGAAGGCAGGGGAUCUUCGGACCUUGCGCGAUUGAAUGAGCCGAUGUCGGAUUAGCUAGUUGGCGGGGUAAAGGCCCACCAAGGCGACGAUCCGUAGCUGGUCUGAGAGGAUGAUCAGCCACACUGGAACUGAGACACGGUCCAGACUCCUACGGGAGGCAGCAGUGGGGAAUAUUGGACAAUGGGCGCAGGCCUGAUCCAGCCAUACCGCGUGGGUGAAGAAGGCCUUCGGGUUGUAAAGCCCUUUUGUUGGGAAAGAAAAGCAGCAGGUUAAUACCCCGCUGUUCUGACGGUACCCAAAGAAUAAGCACCGGCUAACUUCGUG
rnacentral:rRNA from 1 species